ACGGCCAGACGGCUCAGUUAACGCGUAGUCAUCUACCCUAUGGACGGGAAUAACCUCCGGAAACUGAUAAUAAUGCCCGAUAGAACAUUAUGCCUGGAAUGGUUUAUGUUUCAAAUGAUUUAUCGCCAUAGGGUGGGACUGCGGCCUAUCAUUUGUGGUGAGGUAAUGGCCCACCAAGACUAUUACAGGUACGGGCUCUGAGAGGAGUGGCCCGGAGAUGGGUACUGAGACACGGACCCAGGCCCUAUGGGGCGCAGCAGGCGAGAAAACUUUGCAAUGUGCGAAAGCACGGCAAGGUUAAUCCGAGUGGUUUCUGCUAAAGAAACCUUUUGUCAGUCCUAGAAACACUAACGAAUAAGGGGUGGGCAAGUUCUGGUGUCAGCCGCCGCGGUAAAACCAUGCACCUCAAGUGGUCAGGAUGAUUAUUGGGCCUAAAGCAUCCGUAGCUCGUUUUGUAGUUUCGGUUAAUCCAUACGCUUAACGUAUGGGCUGCCGGGAAUACUGCAUAACUAGAAGUGGGAAGUAUACGUACU
rnacentral:rRNA from 1 species